UACAUCUUUCCAUUCCCUCCGCAGUCCUCCCUCUGACUGCACUCUCCGUAUUUUUCCCCCAAUGCUGCGGGAUGCGCAACCUGCCGUGGAGAUGGCGGCACUUCUCUAUCGACGGCGGAGGCCUACAAGUUGGCCCCGAUGACUGCUUGCGCAGUGAUAGUCCGUGGCCUGCGUACCGCGCCCUUGGAAGGCUGUGCCAGAUGAGUUCAUGAAGAUCAUGGUGAUGAGGAGACCAGAAGAUGUGACUGAAUAAAGGCUGAAGUAGAGCCUGGUUACACCCAAGGCAUUUGGAAAGGUCUGAGAAGCCAGCCUGAUUGCCUCUGAGCAUUGAAUACACUGAGAUCCUUGUCUCCAGUGAAGGACUCACUUCUGGAUUUGGUCUACAGUUGGUUGGGAAACCAACAGGACCAACCUGGAGGCAAGCAGAAUACUUAGCACCUUUUGGCGGUACACACCUUGCUGUGAAGUCCAGUCUACAGAACUAAUUCUAGGAAACAGCAAGGGCUACUCAGAAUUCUGUCUUAAAGAGUGAAAUGCUUUGUUAUUUAACAGGUAAUUGGAUCAAUCAAUAAAGACUCAUGAAAGUG